rnacentral:rRNA from 1 species
CGCGUAGGCGGCCUGUUAAGUCAGAUGUGAAAGCCCCGGGCUCAACCUGGGAAUUGCAUUUGAUACUGGCAGGCUAGAGUGUGGUAGAGGGAAGUGGAAUUCCGGGUGUAGCGGUGAAAUGCGUAGAUAUCCGGAGGAACACCAGUGGCGAAGGCGGCUUCCUGGACCAACACUGACGCUGAGGUGCGAAAGCGUGGGGAGCAAACA